GACGAACGCUGGCGGCGUGCUUAACACAUGCAAGUCGAACGGAAAGGCCCUGCUUUUGUGGGGUGCUCGAGUGGCGAACGGGUGAGUAACACGUGAGUAACCUGCCCUUGACUUUGGGAUAACUUCAGGAAACUGGGGCUAAUACCGGAUAGGAUCUCCUGCUGCAUGGUGGGGGUUGGAAAGUUUCGGCGGUUGGGGUUGGACUCGCGGCUUAUCAGCUUGUUGGUGGGGUAGUGUCUUACCAAGGCUUUGACGGGUAGCCGGCCUGAGAGGGUGACCGGGCACCUUGGGACUGAGAUACGGCCCAGUCUCGUACGGGCGGCAGCAGUGGGGAAUAUUACAAAAUGAGGGGAAGCGUGAGGCAGAAACGCCGCGUGCGGGAUGACGGCCUUCGGGUUGUGAACAGAUUUCGCCUGUGACGAAGAGUGAGUGACGGUAAUGGGUAAAGAAGCACCGGCUAACUACGUG
rnacentral:rRNA from 1 species